CAAGAAGCCGAAGAUGUCUCGUCCGGGAUGCUGUGCCAACCUUAUCUGCAGCAGGAGAUUGCAGGGGCAGGACUAGGCAGCAGAUAAAGGCAUUCUGGCACCACCGAAAAGCUUGCACUCCACGUCUCAACUAUCACCGUCUGGGUUUCAAGCUGAAGGCUGUCAACAGUGCCAACCAGACGCCCCUUCAAAGUUCAUAUGUUUUUGUUGACGGAACAGUGACACCUGGUAAACCUGUCACGCAGAUGCCCUACCCCUUGGUAUGCAUAGUUCAAGAUUGUACCGAAACAAUCCACCUGGAGCAUUAUUCUUGAAUUGGCAGUGGCAUUACUAUCACAACACACCACCUACUGCAUGUCUAUGGUGCGUGUACAAUGCAUCAAACCUAUUCUCAGGUACAGGCCAGGUGGUACGCAAUUACAACAUGAAACAACUGACACAGAGACCGUAAAGUCAUGCCUUUUCCUCCGCGCCUCGGGUUUCAUGUUAUUAUCCUCACAUGCAGCUCAAUUCGCCUGUGCUGUGCAGCAUGAGCAAAAGCAUAUAUUGUUUGUGGUCACAUGACACGGAACGUAAAUACAAAGCGCAUUCUUUUCACUUGCACUGGACUGCACUACCUUGAACUCCACGCAAGACGGGUUUUCCGGAGCUGCACUUUCCAGCUGAAAGGAACUUUAUUAGUAAUGUCUUUCUUUUCAACAGGAAAGUGCAGCACGCAAAUAACCCAGUUCAGAUCUGGUGCAAGCGGUGGAAGCGAAAAGAAUGGACCUACAGUGAAACCUUCCUAUGUUGGACACCCGCGGUGCAGCCGAAGCGUCUCCUACUUAUAGAGGUGUCCGAGUUACAGAAUAUGACAGCAACAAAAAAUGGAAGAGAUCACA